rnacentral:rRNA from 2 species
UACAGAGACUGCAAGCGUUAUUCGGAUUCACUGGGCGUAAAGGGUGCGCAGGCGGCCAAGUGUGUGAGGCGUGAAAGCCCGGGGCUUAACCCCGGAAUUGCACCUCAAACUACAUGGCUAGAGCAUUGGAGAGGGUAGCGGAAUUCACGGUGUAGCAGUGAAAUGCGUAGAUAUCGUGAGGAACACCAGAGGCGAAGGCGGCUACCUGGACAAUUGCUGACGCUCAGGCACGAAAGCGUGGGGAGCAAAAGGG